UUCUCCCUUCCUCCCUCCCUCUGGAGACUCCUUUUACUUUGACUUCUACUGCUUUUCCUCUUCUUCUGCAAACUCUUCUUUCUUCCGUCGUUUUUGAUUCAAGUUUAAGUGAGUUUGUUUUUGAUGUAAUAUUGAGUAGAUCUGAUGGUUCAGAUUAGUUGUAAAAAAGGUGGUUUUUCUGUUGAAGAUGAACGGUGUUGAUCAAUCUUGGCAGUUAGGUGCGGCUCAUGCAGCAAGUUCUAUAAAAACAGUUUCAGUUGUUUUUGUUAUCAAUUAAUAAAAUUUCCAGAGGUUAUUCAGUGAAAUUCUCUCUGGUUUAGUUUGGCUGUUCUUGAUUUGCAUUUUAUACCGUUAAACACAAAAAACUAGGGUUUAAGCUUUCUUACUCUUCACACUUACAAAAACCUCAACGCAAAAGCAUUCAGUCUCUUUCUUUCUUCAUUCGAAACCCCUAGAGUUCCCCACAAUGAGCUUCGUGGCGUACAAAAUGAUGCACUGGCCAACCGGCAUAACCAACGGCGGCUCGGGUUUCAUCACUCACAGCCGAGCCGACUACGUGCCGCAAAUUCCGUUAAUUCAGACCGACGAAAUUGAAUCAGAGUGGUCCUCAAAGAAAGGAAUCAGCCCGGUCCCGGACCUCAUUGUUACUGCUGCUAACAUUUCGAAAUUUAUGUAGUCAGGGUACAAGAAGAGGGUAGUGAAGAAUUUAAAAAUUCUGGAGAAAGAAAAGCGGCAGUUUAAUGGAUGGAGUCUCCAGUGCUUCUCUCAAACUCUUUUGCCAUUACAGAUUGCAUGGUAAUGUGGAAUCAAUGCUUAUAUUGUCAAAAGGAAGGAGUGACAGUUCUAGGAGAAGAUAUUCGAUCAUUUUGUCUUUUCAAGAUGCCAAAAUAUCAGUUUUGGAGUUUGAUGAUUCAGUUCAUGGACUUCGUACAAUGGAAAGAUCUAAUGGCCUUUUCUUGAUUGGAAGUUUCAUUAUUGUUAAAGUAUUUGUCAAGACAGUGUAGUUGAAAUUUUGAUGGAGGUUGAUCUCCUUUUACAGCUCUAUGCACUUGCAAGAGGCCCGGUGGCAAAGGUUGAUCCUCAAGGCAGGUUAUAUUCAGCCUGUGAUGGUCAUCCUUCAUGAGCAGGAGAUUACUUGGGCUGGGCGUGUGUCAUGGAAGCACCGCACUUGCAUGAUUUCUGCACUAAGUAUCGGCACAACUUUAAAGCAGCAUCCACUUAUAUGGUCAGCCAUGACUCUUCCGCAUGAUGCUUACAAGCUACUUGCUGUGCCAUUCCCAACUGGUGGUGUUCUUGUGGUUGGUGUGAAUACAAUUCAUUAUCAUAGUCAGGUAAAAAAAUUUCAGGUUUAGGGUGUCGUUCAAAAAGGCAUAUAUUUUCUUAGUUGGAAGGAACGGGGGGCUCAACUAAACUUAUUGGUAGAUGGAAGCAUUCUUGAGUCUCAGUUUCGGAUGACCAAAAAGAUGUCCAGGUUGCAGUCCCUACAGAAAAAGCUUGCUGAUGCUGUUGCCCAUGUUGCUGGCUCAAAUCCAAGAUCUUUCCGCCAGUUUCGAUCAAAUGGAAAGGGCCAUCGGCCUGGCCUUGAUAGCAUAGUUGAUAGUGAACUGCUUGGCCAUUAUGAGAUGCUCCCUUGAGGUGCCAGUGGGCUGGGCCAAUGCCCGUCACUUGGUAAGCCUUGGUGUUGGCCCGGCCCGACAAAAACUCAAGGCCUAUGGGACCACAGCUCCCCCAUGGGCUCU